AUUCAGAAUUCAGUCGUGACGAUUCUCUCCGUCGAAUAACGUGUUUCGUGGAGCGAUUCGUUCGAUAUAAUAUAAAUCAUCAAAUGAUUUCGUUCGAUUUUUAGUUUAAAUACGUUAAAACACUUUGUACAUAGUUUCACUUGAAUAAAACAAUGAGAUGGAAAAAGAAAACGUUUUGCUGGCAUAAUUAAUCAACAAUUAGAACGAAACGUGCCUUGAAUCACAAAUCACUAGUGCUUCCCUUCGUUGUUUCGUAACUUUUGUGCUCUUGUAGUAAAAUUUUCUUUUGUUGUUCCUAACAUGCGCGCGUGUGAAUGAUAUUGUUUUUUCGAAUUUCUUAUUAAUUCUCUUCACGUUUUUUUAUAUUUCUUUGGGAAACGAUUGAACUGACGUGAGUUGUUAUGGCAAGCAGUGGUGAUGGAUCGAACGGUGAAACAUCCGGAGGUGUUGCUAAGUCACCAGACAACUCGAGUGUACCGCAUAGCCGGAUGCAAGAGAUGCAAACUCAGAGCACGGAGAAACUCACAGAAUCAUCAUCAUUAUCUCCAAACAAUAAUCAAACUUAUUUUGCUGAGGAAAAAAUCCAUAUACCAGAAAUAGAAGGUACUGCAUUCAGUUUUCGAAAGCUAUGGGCGUUCACCGGUCCAGGUUUCUUAAUGUCCAUAGCUUAUCUCGAUCCUGGUAACAUAGAGUCUGACCUGCAAUCUGGAUCCAUUGCUCAAUACAAGUUGUUAUGGGUGUUACUGAGCGCGACUGUGUUGGGCCUGGUGAUGCAAAGGCUGAGUGCACGUUUGGGUGUCGUAAGUGGACUUCAUUUGGCCGAAAUGUGUUAUCGUCAGUACAAAGCAGUUCCACGAAUUUUGUUAUGGAUUAUGAUAGAAAUCGCGAUUAUAGGAAGCGACAUGCAAGAGGUCAUAGGCACUGCAACUGCGAUUUAUCUUUUAUCGAAUCGUGUAGUUCCUCUGUGGGGAGGCGUUCUUAUAACGAUAAUCGAUACAUUUACGUUUUUAUUCCUUGACAAAUAUGGCUUACGAAAACUCGAAUUUUUUUUCGGUUUUCUCAUCACCGUUAUGGCUGUGACGUUUGGAUUCGAGUACGUUAAGUCGGCGCCACCGCAGCUGGAUGUAAUAAAAGGAAUGUUUGUGCCUAUGUGCGAAAAUUGCGACAGAGCCGUACUGCUCCAGGCAGUUGGUGUUAUCGGCGCUGUCAUAAUGCCCCAUAAUUUGUAUCUCCACAGUGCUCUUGUAAAGUCGAGGGACAUCGAUCGAAGGAAUCCGGUGAAGGUCAAAGAAGCUAACAAAUAUUACUUCAUCGAGGCUUCGUUCGCUCUUUUCGUCUCUUUUGUUAUAAACGUAUUCGUCGUCGCUGUUUUCGCACACGGUUUGUUCGAUAAAACCGACAGCGAUGUGCUUCAAGUUUGCAUCGAUUCGAACAACUCUUUGGGCAUGGAGACGUUCACGAACGGAACUGAGCGUUUCCAAGCCGAUUUGUACAAAGGUGGAAUUUUCUUAGGUUGUCAAUUCGGAGUUGCGGCGAUGUUUAUAUGGGCAGUUGGAAUUUUAGCUGCAGGACAAUCGUCAACGAUGACGGGAACUUACGCUGGUCAAUUUGCGAUGGAAGGAUUUUUAAAUCUGCAAUGGGUCCGUUGGAGACGAGUUUUGUUCACUCGAACAAUCGCAAUCGUUCCAACGUUUCUCGUUGCUAUUCUUGCCGACAUGGAGCAUCUCAGUGGAAUGAACGACAUUCUUAACGCCGUUAUGAGCCUUCAAUUGCCAUUCGCUACUCUUCCGGUUAUCGCCUUUACGAGUAGCGUUCACAUAAUGGGCGAUUUUAAAAACGGGUUCUUUACAAACCUUAUAUCGACGGCACUGUCUGUGAUUGUGAUAACGAUAAACAUUUACUUCGUGAUUGACACAAUAAACGAGAAUGGAGUUGGAAGUGAUAAUUGGGGAGUACUUUUAGCCAUAGCGAUUUACGCAUUAUUGUAUCUCGCCUUUUGUCUAUACCUCUCGAUACACAUGGCGAUUUCAAUGGGAGCAACUUCGCUAACCAACAACAGGUUUAUCGCGAAAUACAUCGGUGGUCCAGUAUCUACGAAUUUCAGUCUCACAAACCCUGCCGCUUAUUCGAGUUUCGAAAACAGCUCGGAAACAUCUUUAGACUCGUAGAGGAACGAUAUUUACCAUAACCUCGAGCCUUGCUGUGCCUACUCUGUCGUUUUCCAUACGUCUCAUCACCAUUCUUUGUUCUACAAGAUAACAGAAAGUACGAAAAAAAAACAAAAACAAAAAAUCAAGCAAACGAAAUACGAAACAAAAUCAUUCCAUCGGAACCCGCAAUGUGCUUGUGCGCCAAACAUGUACCGUGUCGUCGGCAUGUCAGUCAUUAUUGUAUGUAGCAACCGGAUACAGGAACAAAUUUCCAGCGCAAAGAAAUUGAAAUGUCGAGUAACAUCACAAAAACUUCCACUGUUUCAAGUAUGGCGUUACGACCAAGAAAUCAGACGCUUGAAAUACGAUCUAGUCAUUUCAGUACGUUGAAGUAACUCUACCGAAGAAGCUUCCAGAAUAAAUCCAGCCUUCUCGAUCCAGGAGAAUGUGGGCGGAAUAUUUAGAACGUUACCCGAAUUUUGAAAAAUCUGUUUUCGCGAUUUGGCUCAAAGAGUACGACAAGAAUCACACUAAUCACAUAUCGAACAUUUCAUAAGAAAAAAUAAAGGACGUGAACGAUAAUAAUCAUAGAAUUUUUGACACUUGAUAUUCGAAAGAGGAAGCAACGUUGCGACACACCGUGUAAAUAGACAUGCAAAUAUUUUUUUAAUUCAUGAAAUUGUGAUAAUUGAUGAAAUAAAAAAACAAAUUGUUACAUACUAAAAA